ensembl:lncRNA
AUAUACUUCUCUGUAAGAGUCAAAAUCUGCUUCUCACUGUGGCGAAAGCCAGACCACGGGUAGCCCUACAUGGAAGUUGUACAGCCAGCAGAGAGCACAGGAGCAGAGUUAUGGCAAGAGGCACAUCACCGGGUCUCUGAUGAGAUCAGCCAUGGAUACUGUGGAGUGAGAAGGAAGUCCCUUAUCACAGCACACAUGGCUCUCUCAGGUGGACAAAUGAAGACAAAAAGGCAGAAACAACAAGCCUGUGGCCUCACAUCAAGCCUGCCAGAAACAGAAUGGAAAUGCAGGAGUCUGGCAUAACUUCCAGAGGUCUGAUUGCCCUGCGGGGGAUGUGCUCAGCCUCUACCUGGAGAUAGAGUACCAGAAUAUCCCCAGUUGGAAAGGGAUAUCCAACCUGCCCCUCUCCUGACACAGCUCCAUGCCGUUCCCUCGGGCCCUGUCGCUGUCACACAGAGCAGAGCUCAGCGCUGCUCCUCCACUCCCUGUGAGGAGCUGCAGCCGCCAUGAGGCCUCCCCACAGCUCCUCUGCUCCUGGCUGAGCCAACCAGGGGACCUCAGCUGCUGUUCAUACGUCUCCCCUCUAGACUUUGGGGUUGUUUUGCUUUGCAAUCAUCCCCUCCAUCAAUGCCUGUUAAAUUGUUUGUCUUUAUGCACUCAUUUCCAUCCCCCACUUCUUAACUCCUAUAAAACAGGCCCGCUGGCCUUUGUUUGCAGUGCUGGAAAAGGUGUAAUAACAAUAUUUCCAAUAUUCAAUAUUUUUGUUCAAACCAUCUUGAGAAAACAUUUUUUAAUGAAACACAUUUACUACUCCUCAUUUCUGUGUGAUCUGUCUGAUUUCCUAACUCUUCAAAAUGACAAAAAACAUUUGCCUGCUCAGAGAUGUUGGCCCUAAGCCCAUCACGCCCACGGGCUGUGGUUGUAUGAUAAGAAAUGUU